GUACGUAGUAGAACGUUUAUUUGUUACAGAGUCCAAAAAUGCCAAAUACUAGGCAGGGAACAACGAAACCCAACGGGGAAAAAUCCACCAGUACAGAGUCGGGACACAGCCCAGGCUAAACGUCCUUUCAACAAAAUACAAGAGAGGAAAAACAAUCUCCAAAACCCCACGAUAGGAAACAAACAAUCCCGCACAAAUCUAAACCUAGAAAGCCAGACUAAAUACCCCACUAACGAACUUAACUCAAAACAGGUGAUAACACAGGACAGACAACACCAAACAAAAAUGAAAAGGGGAUCGGUGGCAGCUAGUAGGCCGGCGACAACGACCGCCGAGCGCCGCCUGAACAGGGAGAGGAGCCACCUUCAGUAGACGUUGUGACAGGGACGGAGGAGCAAACAUGCCUUUACCACCACUCGUGUGUGAUCCAUAGUUGCCCAUCACACCACUCUUCAAGCUGUUGAAGAUUGAAACUUUAAGUGGUGUUUCUGUAGCGCUGUAAGCACACAUGUGAUGGAAUUCGCAAAUCAAAUGCCCACUUGUGGUGCCACUGGAUAGCAAAAAUGUGUUGGAACCAACAUGCAGUACCUCCAGCAGGCAGAGAGUCAAGAACCAUUUGUCCACCAGCUCAGGGACAAGCAACACUAUUCACAGCCCUGUGUAAUGUUCAAUGUAAUUGCAUUACUGGACUUUUUGAAACUUAAAGUAUUUGUAUUGUUUAAAAAUGUAAAAAUGAAAGGAAAUGUAUGGUUUAAACUUAGAUUUGUAUUUAUUUUAACUGUUAGUGUUAACACAUGUGUUUCAUUUAGCAUUUUUGUGUGUUAUGAAUGACAAAGGUGUCUUGACUUUACAGUAAGUACAGCAUUUACAUUUAAGUCAUUUAGCAAUUAGGGUAAAGUGUCUUGCUAAAGGGCACAUUGACAGAAGCAGGCCAUCCCCAAACUGCUGCUACUAAGUUCUUGGAAGGCGUUCUACUAGUUCUUGGAAGGCGUUCUACUUCUACGGGGCGGCAGGCAGCCUAGUGGGGUUGCAAGAUCGAAUCCCCGAGCUGACAAGGUACAAACAUUUAAAAGAUAUGUUGUUCUGCCCCUGAACAAGGCAGUUAACCCACUGUUCCUAGGCUGUCACUGAAAACAAUUAUUUGUUCUUAACUGACUUGCCUAGGUAAUAAAACAAAAAACAAUGUUGG
rnacentral:lncRNA from 1 species